rnacentral:rRNA from 1 species
GGGGCCGCAUUAGUUCUGCUGUCAAGGUCGAAGCUUAACUUCGGUUCGGCAGUGGAAACUGGAGCGCUACAGUGCAACAGGGGUAGAGGGAAUUCCCAGUGUAGCGGCCUUAUGCGUAGAGAUUGGGAAGAACACCGGUGGCGAAAGCGCUCUACUGGGUCGCGCCUGACCCUCAGGGACGAAAGCUAAGGUAGCGAAAGGGAUUAGAUACCCCUGUAGUCUUAGCCGUAAACGAUGGAUACUAGGCGUGGUUUGUAUCGACCCAAGCCGUGCCGAAGCUAACGCGUUAAGUAUCCCGCCUGGGGAGUACGCACGCAAGUGUGAAACUCAAAGGAAUUGACGGGGGCCCGCACAAGCGGUGGAGGAUGUGGUUUAAUUCGAUGCAACGCGAAGAACCUUACCAGGGCUUGACAUCCCGCGAAUCUUGCUGAAAGGUGAGAGUGCCUUCGGGAGCGCGGAGACAGGUGGUGCAUGGCUGUCGUCAGCUCGUGUCGUGAGAUGUUGGGUUAAGUCCCGCAACGAGCGCAACCCUCGUCCUUAGUUGCCAGCCUUAAGUGGGGCACUCUAGGGAGACUGCCGGUGACAAACCGGAGGAAGGUGAGGAUGACGUCAAGUCAGCAUGCCCCUUAUGCUCUGGGCAACACACGUCCUACAAUGGUCGGGACAAAGGGGAGCGAGCUCGCGAGAGCCAGCCAAUCCCAGCAAACCCGGCCUCAGUUCAGAUUGCAGGCUGCAACUCGCCUGCAUGAAGGAGGAAUCGCUAGUAAUCGCAGGUCAGCAUACUGCGGGUGAUUCGUUCCCGGGCCUUGUACACACCGCCCGUCACACCAUGGAAGCUGGUUUUGCCCGAAGUCGUUACCCUAACCGAAUGGAGGGGGCGCCGAAGGCAGGGCUGGUGAUGGGGUGAAGUCUAACAAGGUA